UUAUUUUAUUCAAUCAUGUUUCGGGGUGGGCUCUGCUUUGAAUGUCGACGUCACCCAAAGUAUCAGUUGACGUUAUCAACGUUAUCAUAGUGAUAUGCGCGGGAGAUUGACCUGGGCUCACUCCUCCUAACGUUCAUCGUCGAAAGAUUCCAUAGGCUACUGUUUAAUCUCCAGAUCAUACUGGAAAGCGUUUUUCUGUCCCUCCCAAGUAAAGGCCCUCAAGAAGAACCCCCUUACCAGCACUACAAAUCAGAGGAGGCUGAACGGUCAUUAGGGAAAUGGUUUACUGGGGCAAGGGACAGGGGAGGGCUGAGGGCAGCCAGAGUGGCGAAGUGAUUUAAUUCAAUUCAAUUUAGGCAUUGCUGUUUGUAACCAGUUGUUGUUGUUGUUCUCUGUGUUGAUGUUGAUGUUCUCUGUGUUGUAAUUUAUUAAAUGAUUAUUAUUAAAUGCAGAAAAAGAAAAUUAGGCUGCUUUUUCUGCUGUUUGGUGGGACCUUAGAGCCAUAGCCCCCUGGAAGUGACUAAUAUUAUUUUCUAGUGAAUUACAAAUGGGUCUGGUUUUGGAUUGGUAUUUAUAGUGUAUGUUGUAAACAUUGGGAUUUUAAUUAUAUUUUAUUGUAAAUGUUGGAGCCAUAUGACAUUGAAGACGGGACCAAGAUCUUGUAUGCAUUGCCCAGCUUUGCCCUACUUAAUAACUAUAAUCUUGCAUGCAGCCCAUUUGGCCAAUGUGUAGAACCUAGACAGAAUAUUAAGGUGGGGCACGGAUGGGUCUGGCAUUUAUUGCCCAGUUUGGAGCCACAUAAAACCCAUUGUAAUCCUGCCUGAAGCCCAUGUGGAGAAAUGGUAUGGGGCCACUAUAGAACCUGCGAUUCAUCCCUCCUAUACCCCAUUAUUUAAAUCAUGUAGUACCCAUGUAGAACCCAGGUAGAAUUUAAGGCUGGGGCCUCAGAUGGGUCCAUUGUU